rnacentral:lncRNA from 10 species
CGUAUCCAGCCACGGCCGGGAGCCCAGGAGUAUCCCGAGUCCUACCUAGGAACAAAGAAACGCCACUGUACAUGCACGGUUCCCGGCCUGUGGAGUUGUGGGAGGAAGGCGAUGUCUGGCCUUUUUUGCACAGCUGCUGUUGCCUGCCCAGAGAUCGGGAACUCUGCCCCGUAGGACUGGAAGAAACCUCAGUAAUGGGAAUAAGACUUUGUCCAAUAGGGGGCUGAUGAAUGUGUGGGGGCGACAAUGGCAAGGAGUGGGACUCCCGGCCCGGGGUUCGCCAACCCCAGGGGCCACAGGUCCUCCUACAAUUGAACCAGAAUUCACCCACCCGGGCCUGCCCUGUGCAGGGUGCCGAGAGCCCAGGGAUGCAUGAGAGGGUGGCUCCUGCCUCUGGGAACUGGGACAGUGGGAGAGACGGAUAAGUUGUCACACAGAGGCUGCUGGGAGGAAGGAGGAGACAGAAGGAGUAGGGGAUGGGACUUCAUUCAUUCAUCAAAUGCACACGAGGCACAAAUGGGAAUCAAGGGUGGAUGUGCUGUGAUGAAGAGAAGUCCUGCCCUGAACAAGGUGGCGCUGUGGAGGAGGCAGAGAUCAGAUUUGUCUGCGGAGGUGUUAUGGACUGAACUGUGUCCCUGCCCCAAAUUCCUAUGUUGAAGGCCUAACCCCCAUGUGACUGUAUUUGGAGAUAAGGCUUUUAGGAAGUCAUUAAAGUGAGAUGAUGUCAUAUGGGUAGGGUCCUAAUUUGAUAGGAUUGGUGGCCUUAUCAGAAGAACAAUGUCAUGGGCAUGCACAGAAAGGAGGUGGCCGUCUGCAAGCAGGGAAGAGGCCCCUCACCAGAACCUGAGGGUGCUGGCAGCUUGGCUUUGGCCUUGGGCAUCCAGCCUCCAGAACCAUGAGAAAUAAAUGUUUAUGGUAGGUCUAUGAUGGCAGCCUGCUUGGACUGAACCGGCGGUGAGACAGGGCUUCAUGCAGGAGCAGACCUUUGAGCUGGGCCUUGAAAGUUGAGCAGGAAUUUGCUGGAAGGAUAAGGGAGGAAGGCUCUUCUAGGAUCCUUAUCAGCUUCUCCCCACUAGAGUGCCAACUCCACAAACGCAGGAACCUUGUCUGUCCUGUUCUGCCCAUUCCCAGAGCUAGGGCCAGCCUCAGCCUAUGCGAGAGCCUCAAAUAUUUGUUGAACGAACACAGAUGGAUUUGACUGCAGAAAAC